ACGCACGCUGGCGGCGUGCUUAACACCUGCCAGUCGCACGGAAAGGCCCUGCUUUUGUGGGGUGCUCGAGUGGCGAACGGGUGAGUAACACGUGAGUAACCUGCCCUUGACUUUGGGAUAACUUCAGGAAACUGGGGCUAAUACCGGAUAGGAGCUCCUGCUGCAUGGUGGGGGUUGGAAAGUUUCGGCGGUUGGGGAUGGACUCGCGGCUUAUCAGCUUGUUGGUGGGGUAGUGGCUUACCAAGGCUUUGACGGGUAGCCGGCCUGAGAGGGUGACCGGCCACAUUGGGACUGAGAUACGGCCCAGACUCCUACGGGAGGCAGCAGUGGGGAAUAUUGCACAAUGGGCGGAAGCCUGAUGCAGCAACGCCGCGUGCGGGAUGACGGCCUUCGGGUUGUAAACCGCUUUCGCCUGUGGCGAAGCGUGAGUGACGGUAAUGGGUAAAGAAGCACCGGCUAACUACGUG
rnacentral:rRNA from 1 species